rnacentral:lncRNA from 1 species
UUGACCUUAAACCGGUGGAAUUGGAAAGCUAACUCAAAGCUCUAUCUUGUGUCAAAAUAUGGGCUCAAUCUAACGGUGGGAAGGUCUCUAUCCAUAGAUAAACAUAUGAUGCGUCUAUGCAGUUCUGCACCUCAAAAGGCUCCAAAAUCACCAUAUUUCUCCAGAACGUACUUGAACCUGUAAAUACUCUAAAUAGACUCUAUAUAGUAGUAAAUAUAUAUUAAAACACUUAUAUACCAUGGCUGAAAGUGGGCAAAAUCCAUGGUAUAUCAACUCCCCCAGACUUACCCUUUUGUUUGUCCUCAAGCAAAACAGACGGACAGUCUCUCUGAAAAAGGUUUGAAAAUAGCAGGGACUCACAUGAUUUAAAACUAGAAUCAUCACCUCUACAAUACUG